GACGAACGCUGGCGGCGUGCUUAACACAUGCAAGUCGUACGGUAAGGCCCUUUCGGGGGUCCACGAGUGGCGAACGGGUGCGUAACACGUGAGUAACCUGCCCACAACUUUGGGAUAACGCUAGGAAACUGGUGCUAAUACUGGAUAUGUGCUCCUGCUGCAUGGUGGGGGUUGGAAAGCUCCGGCGGUUGUGGAUGGACUCGCGGCCUAUCAGCUUGUUGGUGGGGUAGUGGCCUACCAAGGCGGCGACGGGUGGCCGGCCUGAGAGGGUGACCGGCCACACUGGGACUGAGAUACGGCCCAGACUCCUACGGGAGGCAGCAGUGGGGAAGAUUGCACAAUGGGCGCAAGCCUGAUGCAGCAACGCCGCGUGCGGGAUGACGGCCUUCGGGUUGUAAACCGCUUUCAGCAGGGACGAAGCUUUUUGUGACGGUACCUGCAGAAGAAGCACCGGCUAACUACGUG
rnacentral:rRNA from 1 species